rnacentral:rRNA from 1 species
AGUGAACGCUGGCGGUAGGCCUAACACAUGCAAGUCGAACGGCAGCACAGAGGAGCUUGCUCCUUUGGGUGACGAGUGGCGGACGGGUGAGGAAUACAUCGGAAUCUACUCUGUCGUGGGGGAUAACGUAGGGAAACUUACGCUAAUACCGCAUACGACCUACGGGUGAAAGCAGGGGAUCUUCGGACCUUGCGCGAUUGAAUGAGCCGAUGUCGGAUUAGCUAGUUGGCGGGGUAAAGGCCCACCAAGGCGACGAUCCGUAGCUGAUCUGAGAGGAUGAUCAGCCACACUGGAACUGAGACACGGUCCAGACUCCUACGGGAGGCAGCAGUGGGGAAUAUUGGACAAUGGGCGCAAGCCUGAUCCAGCCAUACCGCGUGGGUGAAGAAGGCCUUCGGGUUGUAAAGCCCUUUUGUUGGGAAAGAAAUCCAGCCGGCUAAUACCUGGUUGGGAUGACGGUACCCAAAGAAUAAGCACCGGCUAACUUCGUGCCAGCAGCCGCGGUAAUACGAAGGGUGCAAGCGUUACUCGGAAUUACUGGGCGUAAAGCGUGCGUAGGUGGUUAUUUAAGUCCGUUGUGAAAGCCCUGGGCUCAACCUGGGAACUGCAGUGGAUACUGGAUGACUAGAAUGUGGUAGAGGGUAGCGGAAUUCCUGGUGUAGCAGUGAAAUGCGUAGAGAUCAGGAGGAACAUCCAUGGCGAAGGCAGCUACCUGGACCAACAUUGACACUGAGGCACGAAAGCGUGGGGAGCAAACAGG